AGUGGAUUUCAAUGAUAUAGUUUGUUAGAGAGCAUUGGGGUUAUGGGGUUAGAGAGUGAAGCAUCUUCAAUUCAAAGCUAUUUCAAUGACAGAAGAAGCAAACCAUAGCAGCAGUGACAUGAAAGGUCUUCCCAAAGUGCUGGUUUUGGGUCCUCCUUUUAUCUUCUCAUCACUUGAACCUCUUUACUCUCACAAAUUCCAUUUUCUCAAAUCUCACCUCUCAGAUCUCUCGCUUCAACACUACCUUCAACUCCACCACCCUCCCUCUAUUACCGCUAUUCUCUGUGGCACCGGCUACUCCGUAACCGCUGAAGUCCUCCGCCUCCUCCCAUCGCUCCGCGUCCUCGUCACCACCAGCGCCGGAACAAAUCACAUCGACCUCCGUGAGUGUCGCCGCCGCGGAAUCCAGGUUGCCGGUGCUGGAGGUAUGUUCUCGGAUGAUGUGGCAGAUAUGGCCGUGGCUCUGCUCAUUGACGGAAUGAGGAAAAUCUCAGCGGCAGAUCGGUGGUUAAGGACGCAGAAUCGCCACAAUGCCCCCUGGCAUUUAUUCCCAUUAGGGUCAAAGUUAUCAGGGAAGCAAGUUGGGAUUAUUGGAUUGGGAAGCAUUGGCAUGGAAGUGGCGAAAAGGCUCGAAUCUUUUGGUUGCAUAAUCUCAUACAACUCUAAGCAUAAAAAAACUGCAGUGUCAUAUCCUUUCUAUUCCAGUGUUGUUGAGCUUGCAACUACUUGCGACGUUCUUGUGCUCUGUUGUGAACUAAAUGAGCAAACAAAACACAUAAUUAACAGGGAAGUCAUUCUGGCGUUAGGAAAAGGAGGAUUUAUUGUGAAUAUUGGAAGAGGGGGUCUUAUUGAUGAAAAGGAAUUGGUAAAGUGUUUGAUGGAAGGUGAAAUUGGAGGUGCUGGUUUGGAUGUGUUUGAGAACGAACCUCGUGUUCCUCGAGAGCUCUUUGAAAUGAAUAAUGUGGUUUUGUCUCCACAUGCUGCUGCUAUUACUGCGGAAUCAUUCAUGAAUAUGUGUGAAAUUGCCGGAGGGAAUUUAGAAGCCUUUUUCUCAAAUAAGCCCCUAAUCACUCCAGUUAUGUUGCCUGAAUAACUUGUUCUUUUGACAGCAUAAUAUCGUGCUGUAGAAUUUGAUUUCAUUCCUUCAAUGAUUCUUGAGUCGGAAAUGGCAUAGUUCUAUUUCCAAAACCAUCUCAGGGAAGUGCCUAUCAAACUGUGUUCAUAAAAGGAAGGAGAUGAACAAACUCCAUUUGGGAGGUGUCCAGACGUCCACGGCGUAGGGGGCUACACAACUGACCGAUUGCAUUCUUGACUCUAGUUGGGUCUAUUGAGUUUUCCUUGCGGUGCAAGGUAUUGUUGAAGCAGGUUGGUGAUUUGAGCUGUGAAAUUUUGAGGGUAGAUGAUGUGCCUCUAAAGCAAGCAUUGGAGGGUGAUGACACUGUUGUCUAGUCUUAGAGUAUCCACUUUGUUUUGUGUAUAAAGUUUGAAUUUUAUAGCCAUUUUGGAUGACUGUAAGAUUAACUAUUUAUUUUCAAGUCUUUAACUGUUCUUUAAUAUUAAAAUGUUGACUACU